UUAUUGAUCGUGGGAGACGCCGGUUUUUUUAUCCGCCCUCGUCGCACGGACCCAGCUCGCCGCCGCCCUCACCAUACGAGCCCAGCUUGCCGCCGCCCCCGCCGCACAGCCUCAGCUCGCCGCUGCGCCUGCUCCAUUGUUCGGUUCCGGCGAGCUCUCUGCACUUGGGCCUGCGGCUACUACCCAUCCCAUUGCAUCGAGCUGGUAGCAGUUUGUCUUCUCGUCUCCAAAUCUUCACCUUCUUCCCAAUCCCUAUGUCGAGUGAAUCUACGACGGCGGCCACGCCUUAUCCACAGCUACCUUUCCCAAUGGAUUCGGCGGCGGCGACGUCCUCGCCAUACCUGCAGCACCAAUCUACAGCUCGCGGCAUCGGCGGCGGUGUCCAUGGCGGCGUCGUAUCCGCGGCAUCGACAACAUCCCUCCACAGAGCCCCUCAACAUGAUUCGACGGUAGUAGUGGCACCCUCACCUUAUAUGUACAAGGAGAACCGCUCACCUCAACUAUCCCCUAGCAUGAUCCAAGACCUAACGAAGAUUGUUUUAUUCUGAUCUUUUUGCUCAUGGAGAUCUGGAAUCUAUUUACAGGAAGAUGCAAGUUGAGUGCAAAAUAGCAGUACCAGCAACACGGCAUGAUCUCAUCUGCCAUUAAAAUCGAUCUAUGUUCUGCUCGCAUGGUCAACACAGACCUGUUCACCUGUCCAGUUCCUGAUUGUUGAAUUGGUGUCCCUUCUUCCCUUCAUGGCUCUAAAGUUGAGUAUUUUUAUGUUUCUCCAGGAAGCCAUUUUAUUGUAGAAUAUUUUUAGAAGAAACCAGCCAUUUUAUUGUAGACUAUUUUCAGAUGAAACAAUUUAACUGUAAACUAUCAGGCUAUCUCUCCUAUUUUGGUUCUAAGUGUCACCAACUAGAUAUGUUGGGAAAAAUAUACUCCAUCUGUUCCAUAAAAAGUGUCAUUCUAGGAUUCAAAUUUUGUCCCUUUGAAUGUGUUGUUUGCCUACCUAUAGGAACUGUACCAGCAGCUGUCCACCUGCACUCACCCAUCACCCACUCACUCGCCAGCACGUAGCCUGUUAGUGGCAGCAGCUUCUUCAUUUACAGUACUUCAGCUUAUGUAAUUAUUGGAUAGUAGAGGCAUAUGCAGGCAUUUUACUCUUCUCCUUGAUAUAAGCACCAGCCUCCCAAACGACCAUAUAUAUGGCACAGAGGUAGUAUUUGCUGCAGACAGUUUGAUAAUACUAGGAUUGUUCUAGAAAACAGGUCGUUGUAGAAAUCCUAGCCUGCUACAUGACAAUAAAAAUAUUAUUUAGAAACACAUCCGUAGUAUGAUUCAUCAAUAAAAUUGUAAUUGGGUGGAUUCACUUAUUCAGUUAACUACUGAUGCUGAGGCACAAGAUUUAGUGCUAUGAUUAAUUUAUAAUAUUAUAAGUGUUGCUGUUGUGAUAUAGUAACUGUGGUGGAUUAAUUAGCAGCUCCUUUUUUGCUUGACUCGAUGCAUAAGCAUGGAAAUUAAAACUUGAAACUUGAUCAUCACUGCAGCUAGAGUUUGGUCAAUUUUGAUUGAAGAUCUAGCUAUCCAAGUAAUAUGCCUCGGAGAUUUCACUUAUUCAGCUUAUGCCUUCUCUGACCUGUCAACCAAACUGACUCUUGUCAUGGCUUGGUGGGAUUUUGUAAUGACGGUUCUGAAUGAGAAGAGGUUGUAGGCUGAUGCCCAAGUGAGACAUUCAGUGGCAGAUCCAGAAACAACUCAAAAAGGGGGGGGGGGGGGGGGGGCUAAAACUAGUGCAAGGUAUUUUUAUGGCACAUCAGGUAGGGCUAAAUCUAUAUUUUUAUGAGUUAUCUUAGGUUAGACAAAAGAACUGUUAAAUGGAUUUCUGGGCUGCGCCCCGGGCCUGGAUCCGCCCCUGGAGACAUUAGUUUUUCCAUGUUUGUGUGCCUCAGGUAAUUUUGUCUUCCUCCUAUCUUCCCCUCAUGGACUGUCUUCCUUGUAAAAUUCAAGUGUUUCAUGCUCCAAAAGAUCAUCUUUUAUUAAAUGAGUCCAUUCUUUCAAAUGUCAUGCGGGUAUUUUUGUUCAACUUAUGUUGGGGAAUUGCAACACAGGACUAUCAUGUGCUCUGCAUGCUAUUACUAAUUGAAUUCUAGACUCAAACAUGUUCCCAUGAGGUUAAAAAAUUGUAUAUGCUCUGAAUUGUCAAUUCAAAUUGAAACUUUACUUUAAUUUCAUCUUUUUGUUUUUGAGAUGCCAUCAAAAUCAGAUGUGUGCUCUGCUUCCUUGGAUACUUCUGUUCUCUGGCUUUUUCCUUGUUGCGUGAAAGGAGCCUGCAGAUUGUUUACCUCACUUAGAUAUACCUUAUUUAUAUUUAUUGUUCACAGAUUACUGCAGGCUGUAUAGCGAGGAUUGAUGAGGAGUCGGACCUUUAUUUAUGUCUUUUGACUUUCAGUUUAGUUGUCCAUCUUAUUACCUGUUUUUAUUUUAUUUUAUUUUAUUUUAUUUUAUUUUAUUUUAUUUUCAGCUUACAUUUUCAAGACCUGAACUCCUCUCUUGUUUAAUCUAAUGAACUGCUAAUCAUAUUAUUGUUUUAUCUUCUAGCUAUCGCCCACUUGAGAAUGCUUCAAUACGAAUAUGAAAUGUGUUUCAGUAGGAACACUAGAUUCUGAUCUCAUAUCUUGUUCUUUAUUUUAGACACUCACAACAGUCUUAUUCUGUGAUCCAGUUCAUUAAUAUUUUUUAGUUAAGUAAACAUCUCCAAGUAUGUGUUUAGAAAUAAAUUUGGUCACAAGGGCUUGUGGAUGCUCAAUAAGCUAUUUCCCGAGCCACCAAAAACAGCCUCGGCGCCUCCUUUGGUGUGUUUCCAUCGCCCCUCUUUUCUUCUUUCUUUUUAUGUUAGUUUUUUCCUCAACUUUUCAAUUAUGUCCCGGGAGAAGAGGGCGGUUCCUCCUGUUAUCUCGCCUGGUAGAUGUUCAUUUCUCAUGGUGCAUAUAGUCUACCUCUUCCGCAUGUUCACCGUGUAUUUGGCAGUGGCGGUACCAGCUUCCAUCCUACUCCAAUCAUCCAUUCAACUCCUGGAACUCUCUUUUACCAAUUCCCUCGUUUGGCCUGUUUGACCUAUUCGAUGGCUACGACAGUCCCUUAUCUGUUUAGCUCCCCAGUAGCUUUUGAUGACUCUUUUUGCUAAGUCCUUCCUAAACAAAAAAAUCUGCUACCUUAGCACAAAAUGUUUUUAUCAUCCUUUAUGUGUGUUGGUUUUUCAUAUUAUGCACUAUCCAUUCUAUGUUCAGUUAUUCUUUCAUAAGCCUCUACUGCCCUAUCCACAAGUUAUGUUAUUUGACCCACAAAUAUAUUUUCUGGUGCCCUUAAUCAACUAAAGCCCUCUUGCAUAUACCCCUUUAUUCUAGCGUCUUCAUAGUCGUUCUACAGGUAGUUGGUAGCCUAGUUGAACCUUUAAUCAUGUGACUAGAGAUGUAAGUGUGAUGGAUAUUUGGGAUAGCAGCAGGCUUGCAGUGUAUGUUAUCGACCCAAGUUCUACUGUUUUGAAGCUCGCAAAUACACCUGACCAUGUGAGAUCUGUCCAGUGGAUAUUUAGAAGGGGCUGCAGUAGUCUUAUGUCUGGUCAUCUUGCUUACUAUAGAGUAUUCACAACCAUAUAUCACUUUUCUUCUUCCUAGUUCAGUAUCUUCCUUUCUUAUGUGCUCAUCAGCUUAACCUUGGGGAUGAACUGAUCUAGGAGGUUACAGGUUGAAGGGCAUUGUGAAUUUCUGAUGUAGAGUGAGUCUUAUAGGUUACAGGUUUAAUAUCCAUUUGUGGUGUUAUUUGCUUAUUGUAGACAAUCCAUCUGUCCUUUGCUCGUACCGCUCGCCCUAGUGCCCUGCUCCUGUUGCUAAUGCCUCUCACUCAACAUGUCCUACAUGCCGAGGUAAGAGUGGCCUUGAGGUUCUUUAAUUUAAUUUGUGCAUUAAUUUGUUAAUUAAGAGACAUCAAAUUGUCAACUAAGGAACAUAAGAAAAGAUUUCUGGUCUAUUUUAUGGAAGGAAUAAGUUCAUGUGCUACUGUAUUUUUAUUUGUGAAUAUAGAUAUCUAGGGAUUAUCUAGGCAAGAUGAAAUAUGCUAGUGCAUUCACAAAUUAGUGCUCAUGUAUGAAGAUCCACUUGCAAACUUUCUUAUGAUUUUAUUUUAGAUUUUUCAGUCACGCAGAUCCAAUUAAUCUGUAGCUUCCAAGUUUGCUACGCUGGACCGACAGAGUUGGGUUCAGAACAGUUCAGGAAAUACCAUUUUUCUCAGUAUUCAUAUGUGAUAUCUUUACAUCUAAAUUAUAUUUUUUUAGAUGUUCAAUUAUGAAUGGGCAUGGCAUAGGGAAGAGUACAAAACAAGUAGUAUUGUUGAUUGCAUUUUAGGGUAAGCUAAACAUGUAUAACUGUUGGUGGCGCCUCCCAGUUUUAGUUGCUUUUCUUUGCUAUAUUUUAUACUUCCUUUUUCCCAUUAAAAAUGUUGAUUCAUUGAUGUUCACUAAGUUAUUUAAGAAAGCACAAAGUAGCACCUGAGUUUGGAGGAUAAUGUCUCUUUUUUGUCUACUGCAGAACUGGAUGUUAAGUCUAGAUAGCAACGUUUCUUGCCCAUUCGGUUUUGAUUAUUUACAUCUAGCAUUCUAAUUUCCCUCUCAAGCCAAAUUUAUGUUUUUCUUUUUUGCAGGAAAGAAACCUUCUCGUGUGGAUGCUUUUAGUUGAUUACCACAGAUGUACAUGUCGCCGUGGCCUACCUCUAAACUAUUAGAAUCCUGAUAUCCUCCAUUACAUGUGCUAUAAUAGAUUGUUAUAGAAUUAUUUAUGGUAUCCUACGAUCUUCUACCCAUAAUCUUGGUUUCAAGGGUGACUAGGCGUCCAGGCGAGAUCUAGGUGUGCGCCUAGGCGACAAGGCACCACUGUUCCCCAGCGAGCUAGGUUCGCCCUGGACGCCUAGGCGUUGCCUUUGAAACAGGGCUCAUAAUACUUUCCCUUUUGUUUUGUUUCAAGCUAUAUAAGGUUCUAGACUUCCAGUUGAUCCAUUUAUAUUAGUAUAAGUAUAAUAACAUAUUACUUAGGUACUACAUAAUUUUUUACUGUUUUCUUGAGUAUCUGUAAUGUAUCCUUGGCUUAUUGAAUUUACUGUAAACUAAGUUUAUGCUAUUACCAUACUUCACUCAUAAAAAUAUGUUAAUGCUUGUCAUAUAUAAUUAUACACUACAGAUUCUUCACUCUGAAAAAGACAAGACACUCUCCAUUGGAUGGUGAACAUUUUUACCAUUUUCAUCUGAAAGAACAAAAUAUAAACAUUUGUAGUUUUCAGAUAGCUUGCUCUAUAAUGUUUUUAGGUAAAUAGUUUAUAUUUUAUCUGCUAGUAUUUUUGUACUUAACUAAUUGUAUUAUUAAUGGUUUUGAUCAAAGCAGGAUGCAUUCGGGGUUGUCUAACCUGUGCUUAUGGCUUCUAAUAAAUUAGAAGCCAUAAGCACAGGUAUAUUAUUAGAAGCUUAUGGCUUCUAAUAAAUUAGAGAAAGCCCCAACCCAAAGUGCAGCUAGCUGGUUUGACCAAACCCGUAUGUACCGACCGGACCAAACCUCCUAGCUGGUUCAAACCAACCAGGAGCCACCUCCAGCCGUCCUCUUCUCUCUCCCAUUUAUUUUGAAUUAGCACUUUCUCUCUCAUCUGAGGAUAGCCACGGUCAAAAAGCGGCGAUGGCGGUGGCUCCGAGCACCUCGCGCUGCAGGCUUCGAGGUGGUCGGGCGAGGAGCAGCGGUGACGAACUCGUGGAGGCCAUCCCAGCAGCAGGUAGGAGGCGCUGCUCUGGCAUGCUCAGCCCACAACUGAGCCCAUCGCGCUGUGCCGGCACUGCUCCCCGCCCUCCACUAGGCAUGCCCGUGCUCCCUUGGACCGGCGGUGGCCUGCAGCCGCUUCCCUUGUCCGGCGGCGGCCCGCACCCGGAUCUACACUGUAAGAGUGAGAGAUGAUCAACCGUGCGUGCCCUUGUAUUGAUCUCAGGGGGUGUAUUUAUACACUUACAGGUGAUUACAGAGGAGCCUCAUGGGCAUUACGGUGAUCCUAUAUGCUCGGCAUAUGGAGCGAGUCUAGCGGGCGUGCGUGCGUUAGGCAUGCACGGUGACUACGGUGGUGACGGGCCUGGCGCAUAGCGCGGGCAGUUUACAACGAGUGUGUAACACCCCCCCUCAGUCGAUGCAGUGGUUGAUCCGACGCAGAGACUGUCCCGGAAGUCGUUGAAGAGCGCCGAUGGUAGAGCCUUCGUGAAGAUGUCCGCGAAUUGCCGAGCGCUGGGGAUUUGAACGACCCUGAGUUCGCCGAUGGCAACUUUUUCGCGUACGAAGUGUACGUCGAGUUCGAUGUGCUAGCUUGGUUCGCCUGUGAUGAAUCGGAUUGCGCGCCAUGUACACGGACGAGACGUUGUCGCAGUAUGCGAUCGUGGCGCCGUGGAUGUCGCAGUGUAGUUCGCCGAGUAGAUGCCGUAGCCAGGAGCAUUCGGCGACAGCGUUCGCGACGCCCCGAUAUUCAGCCUCUGCGCUGGAUCGGGACACCGUGUUCUGCCGUUUGGAGCUCCAGGAGACGAGAGUGUCUCCGAGGAACACUGCGAAGCCGGACGUCGAUCUUCUUGUGUCGGGGCAGCCAGCCCAAUCGGCGUCUGUGUAUGCUGAUAGCUGGAGCUGCGUCGUUCGGUUCGGUCGUAGCCCGAAAUCGAGCGUGCCCUUGACGUAGCGCAGUAUGCGCUUGAGCAGCGCCAGAUGGGAAUCCCGCGGCGAGUGCAUGUGGAGGCAGACCUGUUGCACAGAAUAGGCGAGAUCCGGUCUUGUUAGCGUUAGGUACUGUAGAGCACCUGCCAUGCUCCUGUACCACUGCGCGUACGUCGUCGAUCAGGUUCCCUUCUUCGCUUGAGAGCUUGGGGCGCACGUCCGCCGGUGUGCCAGCUGCUUUGCAAUUGCUCAUGCCUGCACGAUCAAGGACUUCCUUGGCGUACUUGCCUUGUGAUAGGAAGAAUCCGUCGUUGUCGCGUUGAACGUCGAUGCCGAUCGAGGAAGAAACUGAGCGGCCCCAUGUCCUUGAUCGCGAAUUCUAGCUUGAGCUUGUGGACGACGUGCUGUAGCAGCUGUGUAGAGGAGGCAGAUAGGAUCAUGUCGUCGACGUAGAGGAGGAGGUAUGCUGUGUUGUUGCCGCGUCGAAGGACGAAGAGGCUGGUGUCGGCUCGUGACUGAGUGAAGCCGAGGCUGGUGACGUAGUCGACGAAGCGGAGGAACCACUGUCGGGGCGCCUGGCGAAGACCGUAGAGGGAUCGCGACAGACGGCACACGGCGUCGGGGCGAUCAGGGUCUUCAAAACCUGUAGGUUGGCUGCAGUAGACAGUCUCUUGCAAGUUGCCGUGCAAGAAUGCAUUGGAAACAUCCAAUUGGUGUGCUGGCCACUUUCGCGAGGCCACCAAUGUCAGCACGGCCGGUCCGGAUGGUCGCCGGCUUGAUGACGGGGGAGAAUGUCUCGCUGAAAUCGAUCCCGGGUCGCUGAUUGAACCCCCGGACCACCCACCGUGCUUUGUAGCGUUCUAGGGAGCCAUCGGCAUUGAACUUGUGCUUGAACACCCAUUUCCCGGUUAUGAUGCGAGUGCCUCGGGGCCGGUCAUGGAGUGUCCAGGUGUUGUUCGCGAGCAGUGCGUCGUGUUCUGCCUUCAUGGCAGCACGCCAGUUGGGGUCGUGUAGAGCAGCCCUUACUGACGAGGGGAUAGGAGACGGUGAGCUGGUUGAAGUGUGUAGGGCAUAUUUGGGGUUGGGUUUGAAGGUCCUGACGCGUGAGCGAGUCACCAUGCAUGUGGUGUCUUGGUGCCGGUACGGUGGUGGAGGAGAAGCUUGGGGCAGUGGGCUGUUUGGUGGCGAGUUGGUUUGUGGUGUGGCAUUGUGUGUCGGGAUAGGUGUGCUGGCUGAAGGUGAACUCGGUGAGCUGGGAAUGGCACUUGACUGUGGAGGGGUACUGGGGUGGUGUGCUUGAUGCAUGUGCCUUGCCGUGCGCGGUCGUGUGGGGUGAGUUGGUAUGUGAUGAUGAAGUUUUGGUGUAGGUGGUGGCAGUUGCUGUGCGAGGUGUCUAGGUGGUGUGUCAUCAUCACUGGUUACCUCUAUGUGUUGGCGCGAGCUGGGUGCAGGUGGCGCGGUGCGGAACGGGAAGACGUUCUCGUCGAAGACAACGUGACGAGAGGUGAUCACGCGUCUUGUGGCGACGUCAUAGCAGCGGUAGCCGCGAUGAUCCGCCGGGUACCCAAUGAAGACGCAGAGCGUGGACCGCGGUUGGAGCUUGUGGCGUGUGGUGGCCGUCAGGUUGGGGAAGCAUUGACAGCCGAAGACGCGGAGCUCGUCAUAGGAUGGAUGGCUGUACGCCGAAGAGCACCUGGAACGGGGUGACCGAGCCGGUGGCGCGACACGGGCGUCGGUUGAUGAGGUAGGUCGCGGUCGCCAGAGCUUCUGCCCAAAACGCCAGUGGAUCGGAGCUGCACUAUGAACAAGCAUAGUUCGCACACAGUCAUUAAGAGUGCGUAGCACUCGUUCAGCUUUGCCCUUCUGCUGAGAGGUAUAUGGGCACGACAGACUGAACUGGAUGCCGUGAUCUGCGAGUAGGAUGCGAAGGGCAGUGGAGUCGAACUCCCGGCCAUUGUCAGUUUGUAGAGCUAGAAUGGGGAGGCGAAAUUGUGUUUGAACAUAGGCUAAGAAUUGGCGUAUGGUGGGCAGAACCUCGGAUUUGUGCCUGAGGGGAAACGUCCAGAGGUAGUGAGUGUAAUCAUCGAGUAUAGCGAGGUAGUAUUGGUAGCCUGAGUGGCUCACAACGGGAGAGGUCCAAACAUCAGAGUGUAACAGCUGAAAUGGAAAAUAUGUAUUCGAAACUGAAUUAUUGAAGGGAAGACGAACAUGUUUGCCUAAUCGACAUGAAGAACAGGAAUGUGCAACUGAUUUAUUACAACUGAAUUGAAAACCAGCUAAAAUUUGAGAUAAAACAUGACUGCCAGGGUGUCCCAGCCGUUGAUGCCACAGGGAGACGGCCGAGGACGAAGAAGCAGCCAUGGCUUGAUGAGUGGGUAGCCGAAGAGGGUAGAGGUCUCCAGUGCUCUCACAUCGGAGCAUCUCCGCCUGUGUUCGAAGAUCCUUGAUUGAAAAACCAGAGGGGUCAAAUUCGAUGGCAAUAUUGUUAUCACGAGUAAGACGCCGAACAGAAAUGAGAUUCUUAAUCAGAGAAGGAGCAAUGAGAACAUUGUUCAAAUUCAAAGCGGAAGAGGGAGUUGGGAUGGAGGUAUGGGUUUGAUGAGUAACAGGGAUAUGAGCGCCGUUACCGACGGUGAUCACUGAGGAGGAUCGGGUGAGGUGACCGGGAGGGAAGUUACCAGGGGACGACGCCAUGUGGGUCGUGGCGCCGGUGUCGAGGUACCAGUCGGCGGCGCUCGGAGGGUUGGAAGGCGUGCCAACGGUGGAGAGAGCCUGGUGAAGAGCGUCCCAGUUGCCGCCGUGCGGAGAGGGCGGCUGGUAGGCCAUCAUGGCCUGCUGUGGUUGGAAGGGUGGUCGAGGACCUAGUACGCCCGAUCCUGGGGCGCGGAAGUUCGCGGGCCAGGCUUGGACAUAGCCAGUCCACGGGUUGUAGUUGUUUGGCGCUUGUGGACGUUGCCGCCAUGGUUGCCUCCGGUGUGGCCGCCGUUGUUGCCGCAGCGUUGGGAGCGGUUGCGAGGCGCAGCGUUGUUGUCGUUGGAGGAGGGUGCGGCGCGCGUUGGAGUUGACGCCGGCACUAGAACCGCCCGAUCGAUCCGCUAUUUCCGGAGCCGUGGCCAGCAGCCAGCGCCUGGUUGACGUCAGCCUUGGCAUCGUGCUUGUCGCUCACAGCUCCUCCAGAAUGAGGAACGAACGCGCGGUCAUGAAUGUGUGAGGAGGAAACUUGGAGGUGAUCACCGUCUUCAGGUGGCGGUAGCGGGGGUUCAGGCCGCGGAGCAGGUUUAGAACCUGGCUCGGUUCAGAAACCGUGUGCCCGAUGUCGCGAAGCUGAUCUGCAAGGCGUUUCAGCUUUGUGCAGUAUUCAUCGAUGGACAUAUCACCUUGAUAGGUACUGCGCAGUUCCGCCUCGUUGUCGAGGAAGAGCCCUUCGACGGCGGUCCAGAGGGAGAAGGCAGUGGUGUUCGGCCGGUGGACGAUGUCGAAGACAGACUUGGAGACGGUUGUGAGGAUCCAAUUGACGAUGCAGGGAUCGGUCAGCUGCCAUUCAGCGUCGCGAUCGGCCGCCGGGGUGGGGGCGUGAACGUGGCCGGAGAGCCCGAACUUGCCAAGAACGGAGUCGAAGAAGCACCUCCACUCCACUGGGAGUAGUUGCCUUCUUCAAGAUCGAGGACGACAGGAACGUGGUUCUUGAUGUUGAUUGUUUGUAUGACAGAAGCGGCAGCAGGUUGGGGUGGCUCGACGACGACGUAGUCGUCGCCGUCGGAGUUGGAGGAGGGAGCCAUGGAUGCGGUGCGGAAGCUGAGGCAAAGGGAUUGAGGAAAGUUUUGCCGGAGUCUGAUACCAUGUAAGAGUGAGAGAUGAUCAACCGUGCCCGCCCUUGUAUUGAUCUCAGGGGGUGUAUUUAUACACUUACAGGUGAUUACAGAGGAGCCUCAGGGCAUUACGGUGAUCCUAUAUGCUCGGCAUAUGGAGCGAGUCUAGCGGGCGGGCGUGCGUUAGGCAUGCACGGUGACUACGGUGGUGACGGGCCUGGCGCAUAGCGCGGGCAGUUUACAACGAGUGUGUAGACCAAUUCACUAACAUACACGUCGCGGCUCCUUGUGUGCCCAGCGCCCUGUUCCCCUACUGAGCACAUCAAUCCUGGUUAGGCCCUUCAAAUUUUCCUUUAGAUUUGGUUAGAAUUUUUGAGAUUCCAGAUAAUCCGAUGGCUGCAGCUAUGGCGCACUGUGUCCCAGUCUGCGGCACCAGCAUACUAGUGCCCUUCCUAGCGACGCAGCCGGCGGGAGCCCUGAUGGCUCCAAGUGCUGAUCCAAUUUUUUUAAUGCCAUGGUGAUCCAAUUUGCAGGUGGGCAGACGCCGGAACCCCUUAUGUGCAGUCUUUUUAGUUCAGUUCUAACUCAUUCGUGCCAGUUGACUUCAUUUCUACUAGAUGUUUCUAAAUCGUCAUUUUUCUCAUCUCUGUCUUUUCCAGCAACUUGUGUCCACCAAUCCCUUUGGUUACUAUGCUUGCCUGUAUAAUUUUCUACUCAUUGUGAAACUAUGUUUUGAGACCUGAUUAGAAAUAAAAUUUAUAUCUUUCACUAUCUAGGCGAAGGAGGCUAUUGCCAGGCUACUCAAGGACGUCCUCCUCGACAACGAGAAUGAUGAGAACUAGUUCAGCAAUGGCAGCAAGGCGUUGCGUCCAGGCCAUCGUUGUGCAAUAAUCUUUCAAUGCAUAUCGUUAGUUCUUCGUACUUCUUUUUAUACAUUAUUAGAUCAAAUUUCUAUCAUGCUUUCUAAUAUGAGGAUGUAUAAUUGGUAUGGGAGCAAUACAUAGAACAUGGGGACAGCAUGCGUAAAACAUGGAGACAAUCUUGUCUUCUUGAAAAUUUGAAAUUUGAAAAAUAGUACGUGAUGGACGAUCAAAUUCAUAGAAUCAGUGAUCAAUACGCCUAAAAAUUUUUGGUGACAAUAUUGCAUAGAAAUUAGUAGUUUAAUGAAUAAAAAGUAAAUUUAUUUGCAGCAUAAAAACAUCAUAGAACUGCUCUAAUAAUACAUAUCUUGGUAUGUAUUUUCUUUGUAAAUCCCAAAUUCAAAAUAUUUUUUCAUGUAUGCAAAUUUAGGUGUGAAUUGCAAUGCGUUUGUUUAAAUUUUUAUGCAAUUGAUAAGCUAAUUUUUAUGAAUGUUAUUCUUGCUUUUUAAGCACUCAGGGUUGUUGGCUUUGUAUGUAUAUUUAGGCACCUGUGUGUAUAUCUGAAGAGCAUCAGCUCUCUCUCUCUCUCAAUUGCUACUGAUGUGCUAUUAAUUCUCCCAUGUUAAUUUCUAUGCAUUAUUCAUUUUCUAUGCAUGGUUAAUUUCCUGUGCAUUGUUAAUUUCUAUGCAUUAUUAAUUUUCCAUGCAUUAUUAAUUUUCUAUGUCGCGUCUUGGCUGUCCUUGAUGGCUCAGCUCAAGUCGUGAGGCUGCGACUGGCAGACACGCAGCAGCAAGAGGCCAGCGGCUCGGCGCAUGGAGUAAUGGACACCAAAUCGCGUGAUGACGGUUCCUCCAUGCUUGUAUUUUAAUUCAUGAAACCACUAGAUACAAAUAAAACCCUUUCCGCGUAGUCUGACUUGAGAUUUUAUACGGUAACAUAUAAAGCAUGAUUCUAUACGUUAUUUGUCGGCUUCUUUCUAUGCAUUGUUUGAACACUUUCCGCGUAUAUUUCUAUAUAUUAUUAGAGCAUAUUUCUAUACGUUAUUUGUUGGCUUCUUUCUAUGCAUUGUUUGAACACUUUGACAUAGAUUCUUGGAAAAAUUAUCUGUAUACUUCUACAUAAUUCUAUACUUUUCUAGUACAUAAUUCUAUACAUUAUUUAGAUUGGGGUCGUCAUGAUGAUGGUAAAAUAGUCCCCUAGAAGGGAGGUUAUUUUUGGAUUCUAUGUGUUGUUCCUCUAUUAUUUAUUAGUUCCCAAAGUGACAUAAUGGUUUGGUUUAGGAUUGUCAUGAUUUUGGAUAAAAUAAUCUCUCACAGGGCAAAGUUUUAUUAGGUGUUUUAAAUUAUUUGUGCCUGCUAAGACAUGUUUAUAUGUGUUUCUUGCACCUAUAAGGUUUUUGCGCAUACUAAAACAUAUUUCUAUACCUUUCUUUGCCACCAUAAAUUUUUUACGCCUGCUCAAAUAUGUUUCUAUGUCUUUGUUGUGGUGUAGGAUGGUUGGAAGGAUUCCUCUAUUUUUGGUGUGAGAUCAAUGGUGGUCGGACAUCAUAGGACAUGACUUGCGACGUUCACAACUUCCUUGGCUUGUGACGGUGGCGUAGUGUGAUAUUCGAUAUAGUUGAUGGGUUAAUGUAAAAAGUUAGUUUCUAUAUGUUGUGUUUAUAUACUUGGAUGAUAUGAGAGAACUAUUUGAUUUGUAUGUAACCUCUAUUGGAUUUCAAUAUUUGGUUAAUGAGUGUCUA